rnacentral:misc_RNA from 1 species
GAAAUGCGAUAAGUAGUGUGAAUUGCAGAAUUCAGUGAAUCAUCGAAUCUUUGAACGCACAUUGCGCCCCUUGGUAUUCCAUGGGGCAUGCCUGUUCGAGCGUCAUUUGUACCCUCAAGCUCUGCUUGGUGUUGGGUGUUUGUCCCGUCUCCGCGCGUGGACUCGCCCCAAAGUGAUUGGCAGCCGGCGUACUGGUCCCGGAGCGCAGCACAUGUCGCGCAAACGAGUGCCUUGGUACGGCGGCGUCCAUAAGCUCCUCUCUCACGCUCUUGACCUCGGAUCAGGUAGGGAUACCCGCUGAACUUAAGC